rnacentral:lncRNA from 1 species
GUUUAAUUUUAGCUUAUUUUCAUUCGAGUUGCGUUUUAUUUUACAAUAGUCAAGCGUUCGUUUAGUUUAGCUUUUGUUUUCUUGUUUGGGUCGCGCCUUACGAAAGUGGAAGUGGAAAUUAAUGUUAAGUGGAACUGGUCCGCUUCUUUUGUAGGAGAAAUGUCCUCAAAAUUAUGCUUUAAUAAAAACUAAAAAUGAAGUGUACAUUUUGCAUUGUUUUCUUCCACUUUCAUACUUACAAAUUUUACACUAUGCCUCAUAGGAAAACACAUUCGUAUUUAUUACUUUCAUUGCACAAAAAGCAUUAAACGUACAUUUGCCAAUGCUCUAAACAUUUCUUGGCUUUUCUCUAGUCGUUCAAGUACAGUAAACAAACAAUAUAAAUUACUCUGUGUAUAGGCGCGUAUAUUUAUAUUUCUUUGUAUUGUUUU